CCUACGGGGGGCUGCAGUGGGGAAUAUUGGGCAAUGGGCGCAAGCCUGACCCAGCAACGCCGCGUGAAGGAAGAAGGCUUUCGGGUUGUAAACUUCUUUUCUCAGGGACGAAGAAAGUGACGGUACCUGAGGAAUAAGCCACGGCUAACUACGUGCCAGCAGCCGCGGUAAUACGUAGGGGGCAAGCGUUAUCCGGAUUUACUGGGUGUAAGGGGGGCGCAGACGGCAGCGCAAGCCAGGAGUGAAAGCCCGGGGCCCAACCCCGGGACUGCUCUUGGAACUGCGCGGCUGGAGUGCAGGAGGGGCAGGCGGAAUUCCUGGUGUAGCGGUGAAAUGCGUAGAUAUCAGGAGGAACACCGGUGGCGAAGGCAGCCUGCUGGGCUGCGACUGACGUUGAGGCCCGAAAGCGUGGGGAGCAAACAGGAUUAGAUACCCGAGUAGUC
rnacentral:rRNA from 1 species